AAAACAUUUGUUGAGACUGCUUUCUAAAGGGCUCCACCUCCACCACCUGUCACUGUACUGGGGGCUGCAACGUGGACAGCACCCCUCACUUCUAAGUUCAACUGCAGACUGGAUGGUGAAAGGCUGAAGCCGAGGAGGUGGAAGUGCAGAUUUGGAGCUUCUGCCAGUGGCAAGGAUGGGAAGCAUGAAAGCGAUCUAAAAUAACAAGAGGACAGAGAGUGAACAGCAGCUGAAUCGAAUCAAAGCCUCUGGACCCGACAGGACCCUAUAACUCUUAUUAACUGAAUUGGAUGGAGCUAAAAUAAAGACAUAAACAUCCUAAAUCAUCCACUGAAAUCUUCUUAAAAGGGUAAGUUUCAUUUAUUUUCCAAUUUUAAAAAAAUUAUAUACUUACUUAGCAAAGU
rnacentral:lncRNA from 1 species